rnacentral:rRNA from 1 species
UACGUAAGGUCCGAGCGUUGUCCGGAAUCAUUGGGCGUAAAGGGUACGUAGGCGGAUAAGCAAGUUAGAAGUGAAAUCCUAUAGCUCAACUAUAGUACGCUUUUGAAACUGCUCAUCUUGAGUUAUGGAAGGGAAAGUGGAAUUCCUAGUGUAGCGGUGGAAUGCGUAGAUAUUAGGAGGAAUACCGGUGGCGAAGGCGACUUUCUGGCCAUUAUCUGACGCUGAGGUACGAAAGCGUGGGGAGCAAACAGG